CCAGCCGCAGGCGCAGGCCCAGCGGAGCUGGCCGCUGAGCGGGUGCGGGUGCGGGUGCCGGUGCGGACGCACCGGCCAUCACCGCGCGGCCGAGCAGCCGACACCGUUCUCACCUGAGGCGCCCCGGGAGCGGUGAGUCCCAAGCCCAAGCGCAAGAAUGUGCCUGACCCGCGGCAGCUGCCCCCGUGUAUCCCUGCGCAGCUUAGUAAUGCCGCUUUCGGUCUGUCAGCCAUCGGUCCAGGCAGGGCGCGCGGCCCGCUCUGCCCGGGAUGACGGCGGCAGUGGGGGCGGGGAGCUGCGGUGGCCCUAGCUGGAGGGAGGGGGCGGCGCGCUGCGGCGGGGGCAGGACCCGCCUUCCCGAAACGCUCUGACCCAACCGGAGGGCCCACCCGCCCACGGUACGGUCCUGAGGCAGCCCCCAACCCCCGUCGCCCCCACGCCUGCUUUGUUUCCCCGCACGCCCUCUGCUCGCUUCCAUCCCCCCCACACCCCCGCACCCCGCUGUUCCUAGCGUACCCCACUGGCAGUCACCCCAGCAGCCAGUCCACGCCUGCUCCCUUCCCUGGGAGCGAGGGACUGUCGGGGCCCGCACUUGGGAGGGGGGUCAGGGCUCCGUGGGUCACAGAUGGUGUGGGGAUUUCCAGGGAUAGAAAUAGCCGCCGGCUCUGACCCCUUCGAGCUGCUUAAGGGGUGGGAUGCGGAGGGGAGGGCCCAGGCACACCCCACGCAUCCUCAGCCGCACCCCCAACCCCCUUGCAGCUGAGCUCUGACCCCAGGACGCUGGCGGCCGUGACAAGGCUCCUCCAGAGUCCCAGAUCCAGAGGCUGACAGCCAUUUCUUCCCCCCUCCUCUCCUCAUCCGUACCCUCCCCCAUCUCCAGGGUUGGCCUAGUACUGACCCUUCUGAAAGCCCAUGGCCUUCCGGUCCCCACCCGCUCUGGCCCCAGGGCUCCAGGACUCCUACAGGCCAGAGCAAGGGUCAUGCUCCCUUCCUUCCUCCUGGGUUCUCGGCAUCAGGUGGGGCUGCCACAGGCCUGGUUCCAGUGUCAGUCAGGGCUGACCGUUCUCUCUCUCUCCUCUAGGGGCAGCCGGCAGAACGGAAGGCCAUGUCCCAUGAAAAGAGUUUUUUGGUGUCUGGGGACAACUACCCUCCCCCCAACCCUGGAUAUCCUGGAGGGCCCCAGCCUCCCAUGCCUCCCUAUGCUCAGCCUCCUUACCCUGGGGCCCCUUACCCACAGCCCCCUUUCCAGCCUUCCCCCUAUGGUCAACCAGGGUAUCCCCAAGGCCCCAGCUCCUACCCCCAAGCGGGCUACCCUCAGGGUCCCUACCCCCAAGGGGGCUACCCUCAGGGCCCCUACCCUCAAGGAGGCUACCCCCAAGGGCCUUACCCACAGAGCCCCUUCCCUCCCAACCCCUAUGGACAACCACAGCCCUUCCAGUCACAGGACCCUGACUGUGAGUGAUGGGGAAGGCUGGGGGGCAGGGGCAAGGGCAGAGCUGCUCUGCAGUGGCACUGACCCAGCCCCUGUGUCCCCAGCGCCACAGCUUGGAAACUAUCAGGAGGAGGGGCCCCCAUCCUACUAUGACAACCAGGACUUCCCUUCUGCCAACUGGGACGACAAGAGCAUCAGGCAGGCCUUCAUCCGCAAGGUAGGGCCUUCUCUGUGGGGUAGGGAGCCCUGGGGUAGCUGGGGGUGGAGCUCUGACUUGCUACCUCCCCAGGUGUUCCUGGUGCUGACCCUGCAGCUGUCAGUGACCCUGUCCACAGUGGCUGUGUUCACUUUUGUUGGGGAAGUGAAGGGCUUCGUCCGGGAGAAUGUUUGGACCUACUAUGUCUCCUACGCCAUCUUCUUCAUCUCCUUGAUUGUCCUCAGCUGUUGUGGGGACUUCCGGCGAAAGCAUCCCUGGAACCUUGUGGCACUGGUAACCCCCAAACAUGAGCCCAGGCCCCUGAGGCCUAUGGAGAAGUGGAGGGCAGGGACCUGGGGUGUGGUUGGGAGCAGCUCUGCACACCCAGGGUGGGGUGUUGUCUUCUUCUCCCACAGUCAGUCUUGACCAUCAGCCUGUCCUACAUGGUGGGCAUGAUAGCCAGCUUCUAUAACACCGAGGCGGUCAUCAUGGCUGUGGGCAUCACCACAGCUGUGUGCUUCACAGUAGUCAUCUUCUCCAUGCAGGUGAGGACCUUCACCCAUUCAGGGUUGCGGCCCUGGGGCCCAUUGGCCUUCCCAGGGCCCAGCACCCACAGUCUCCUGUUCCUCUCUGUCCUCCCAGACCCGCUAUGACUUCACCUCAUGCAUGGGCGUGCUCCUGGUGAGCAUGGUGGUGCUCUUUAUCUUCGCCAUCCUCUGCAUCUUCAUCCGGAACCGCAUCCUGGAGAUCGUGUAUGCCUCGCUGGGCGCUCUGCUCUUCACCUGUGUGAGUGAGGGGGUAAGAGGCCAUGGUUGAGGGGAAACUGGGUGGGUGGGGGGCUGUCCCUCAGCAACACUGUGUUGUCGUCCUCAGUUCCUGGCAGUGGACACACAGCUGCUGCUGGGGAACAAGCAACUGUCCCUGAGCCCAGAGGAGUACGUGUUUGCAGCACUGAACCUAUACACAGAUAUCAUCAACAUCUUCCUGUACAUUCUCACCAUCAUUGGCCGCGCCAAGGAGUAGCCUGUUCCCCCAGCUUGCUGUGCCCUGCUCAGGUGGCAUGGCUGGCCUGGACCCUGCCCCUGACAUGACAAGGCCACCUGUACUUCCCUCUCUCUGGUCCCAGACACAGCCCAGGGCAGGGGGAAUCCCCUCUCCAACCCUCCUGUAUGUAUACUGCAGAUACUUCCGUUUGGACCCACUGUGGCCACAGCAUGGCCCCUUUUAGCCCUCCAGCCCCACCCAAGGGGCAGUAGGGCUGCGUUUCUGUGCCACCUCCUGUUGACUCAUUGUUGCAUGAGCCCCGUCUUCCAGCCCACCCCAGGGUCUGGGGGCAACACCAGGUCCCAGGGGAGAGGGAUUGAGCCAAGAGGUGAGGGUGCACGUCUUCCCUCCUGUCCAGCUCCCCAGCCUGGCAUAGAAUAUUCCUUUUCCCUCCCCACCUCCACCUGGAGCAUUGCUCUCAGGGACACACAGGUUGGGGGUCUCUGCUGAGCCCUGAGAGCAGAGAAGAUGGCAUGUUUCAGGAAAGGAGGAAGCCUUCCUCUCGUCCUGCUGUCAUUAAAGUUCCAAUAAAUGGGAUCUUCUGCUC
rnacentral:lncRNA from 1 species